GACGUAGGUGGCAAGCGUUGUCCGGAAUUAUUGGGCGUAAAGCGCGCGCAGGCGGUUAUGUAAGUCUGAUGUUAAAGCCCGGGGCUCAACCUCGGUUCGCAUUGGAAACUGUGUAACUUGAGUGCAGAAGAGGAAAGUGGUAUUCCACGUGUAGCGGUGAAAUGCGUAGAGAUGUGGAGGAACACCAGUGGCGAAGGCGACUUUCUGGUCUGUAACUGACCAUAAGGCGCGAAAGCGUGGGGAGCAAACAGG
rnacentral:rRNA from 1 species